rnacentral:misc_RNA from 1 species
GUAUCCACCUAGUUUCAUUCCCACGCCGCUUUUUGUGUACAUUUCGGUUGUGAAGUCGUCUCCAGAAAGUCCGGAGGGAUUUUCCGCGAAAAUGCCCAGCGAAAUUGAAUGCAGUUUGUUGGUUGUCAUUAUUGAUACCGACCCAGUAUGGUGGGGUCAGUGUUUUCUUGAAGAAAACUCACAGUUUAAUAUAUUCCGGUAUUUAGACAGCAUGUUGGUUUUUGCCAACUCCCAUCUCAUGAUGAAACCAGCCAACAAAUUGGCCAUCAUCGCAGCACACAGCAACCAAAGCUACUUCCUGUACCCAAAGGGCAAAGAAGAGGAACCAAAAGUGGUAACGAAUGAGGUAACCGAAGAGAACGGCACCACCACAGCUGCUAAUGUUCCUCCUCGACCACUAAAUGAUGGCCGUUAUGAACUUUUUGCCCAGGUUGAUGAUCAAAUAACCGAACAGUUAAAAAAUCUUAUGGUUGACCAAGAGGUUGGCCAACUUUAUUCUGACAGUGUAGUUGCUGGUUCCAUUGGCAUGGCACUUUGCUUCAUCAACCGAAUGGAGAAGGAGCUUCAUCUUGGUGAUAAACUUUCCAGUCGGAUCCUGAUAAUGAAAGGAUCUCAAGAUAACCCAGCCCAAUAUAUGAACUUCAUGAAUACUGUUUUCUCUGCUCAGAAACAGAAUGUCAUCAUUGACAGUUGUAUCUUAGGGGACGAUUCCAGUCUGCUACAACAGGCGUGUGAUAUUACUGGUGGCACCUACCUCAAGCUACCCACAGUCUCCGGCAUCUUACAGUAUCUACUGUGCGUCUUUCUUCCUGAUCCUCAUGUUAGACAUAAACUGUCUCUGCCAGCAAGGGUUCAAGUUGAUUACAGGGCUGCUUGUUUUUGCCACCGGAACCUCAUCGAUAUUGGUUACGUCUGCUCCGUUUGUCUGUCAAUUUUCUGUUCCUUCAGUCCGAUUUGUUCCACUUGUCAAACAACAUUCAAAUUCCUUGGACCUCCGAAAAUAUUGAAGAAAAAAAUUCGGAAAAACAACACGUGAAAUACCAUUGUACAUCGAACCUGAAGUUCUUGAGACUUGUUUGGACAUAUAUAUACAUACAUACACAUAUAUAUAUAUACAUACAUAUACACGACAAGCUUCUUUCAGUUUCCGUCUACCAAAUCCACUCACAAGGCUUUGGUAUUUAUAUAAAUCUCUGUUGAUUGGUCAGAAGCGAUGUCACUCAGCACAUUCCCUCAUGAAGGUCACUGCUAGGUCUCACUGCCCACGCGACCAUGUGCUGCCAUCUGUUGGCUGGCUACGGAACCAGUCCGGGAACAUUUUGAUACCACCUCCUAUAAGGUGUGUAUGUGUGUGUCGCCGUCGUCUUCUUGUCUUUCUGCAUUGAGAUCAUUUGGGAAGGAAGCAUUGACUUUGCCUCUGUUUUACAAUUUGAAUGAUUCAGCACGCAAUGACACAGAAUCACUUGAAAAACGUAGGUUUGCAUCUGAAAUGGGGCAACUGACCCAUAGAAGACUGUCUCAAGAAGUCCUGACUAACUCAUGCUAGCAUUGGG